CUGAUUUCUUUGCAGAGCUGAAUGUCAUCCAUCAUGUAUCGCAGCUCUGACUCCCUCCUCACCAGGAUCUCCCUGAUCCUCUCGAUUUUGAAGAGCUCCCCUUCGAUGUCAUCGAUGGUGGUGGUGGAGUCAGCCAUGGAAAUGACCUCAUCCUCUGGCGCCGUGCUGGCGGGCGGCCACCGGGUGGAUUCCAGCGAGCCGUACCGGGGGGGGGUCCGGUUCCCCUCCAUGCUGCAGAGCGGUGCGGCCGCCCCGCUUCUCC
rnacentral:lncRNA from 1 species